rnacentral:lncRNA from 1 species
CUCAAACUAUAAACAAAUAUCAAAUUCAACAUUUUCUAAAACUAGUGGUUAGCUUCUUGUUAAUUUUGACUUAUUUCUUAUUUAUAAAUGUUCAAAUAAUUAUAAAACUUAAAAUGACUAUAAAAAUAAUGUUUUUAUAUUCUUAAUAUGAUCUGAUUUUCUAAGGGAGAAUCAGAAAAAUAUAUUUUUGAGGUAAAUAACAAAAAAAAAAGUAUGUUGGGGGAAAAGCUGAGAGUUGGGAGAAAAGCCCUGCCCCUUGGAACUGGUCUUUUGAACAAGGAAACCAAUGGGUUGUCUGCAAUCAAUCCUCUGAAAUGGAUUAAGGCCAUUGGAAGCUCUACACUUGCAAAUUUUGUUCUAAUAAUUAUGUGCUUGUACUGUCUCCUUUUAGUCUGCAGAUGUGGAAGCCACCUCUGGAGAGAAAGCCACCGUUGAGAACAAGCAAUGACAGCUGUGGCGGUUUUACAAAAAAGAAAAAGGGGCAUCCUGGGGAAAAGCUGAGUGUUGGGAAAAAUGCUGAGGCAGGGCUUGUAUGUCUGACUUAAUGUAAAAGAGUCUUGGAACAUGUCAGGGGUCUGGGGUCUAAAACCUCUCGUGGCCUUUGGAAUAUGUCUAGACUUGCUGGCUCUUUGCUUCUAGCACUCACAGUCUCAUAGAUUGAUUGUAUCUUAAACUAGAAGAACAUGUUUCCCAUUAUCUCAAGUAGCAGAACAUGUUCCAUAUGCUGCAAAGAAAAUGCUAAACCGUCACAGCUGUAGAUCAUGCACUUGACACACCAGUUUCUUUCAACCCCCACUUCCUCACCACCUGCUUCUUUGUUUGAUCACCAAUAAAUAGUGCGGGCUUCCAGAGCUCAGGGCCUUCGCAGCCUCCAUACUAGCGUUGGCCCCCUGGUUCCACUUCAUGCACUCUUAAACUUCUCUUUUCUCAUUCCUUUGACUCCGCCAUACUUUGUAGCCCCCACAGCCUGGUGUUGGGUCUGAUCAUCCCAACAAAAUAAGAUUGCUACAGUUUUUGUAUGCAAUUUAUAAAAUAUAUGUGUUAUUUGACAAAAUAAAAAUGAUUCAAACUUGGUAUCUAGAUUAUAUGUUGGAUAUAUCAAAAUUAAUAAAGUGGACAUUUUAGAAAUCAUUUAGAAUAAAAAUAGUUGUAAAUGAGUUUCUUUCCAAAUACAAAUUACAUCAAUUAGUAACUUUGGAUAUGUGGUUUGGUAAGAAACAAACAUAUACAAAAUCUCAGAAGCUUAAAAGAACAGAGGUGUAUUUCUUGUCUAUACCACAUGUUCAUCUUGGGCAGGCUGGGAGCUCUGCUUCCCAUCUUCUG